rnacentral:snRNA from 1 species
UAAGCUUUUAUUUUAUUUAUUUCAAAAUGUUUAAUUAUAAAGCUUUUUAUUUUUGUAAACUGGCAGGAUGCUGGGGGCUCGCUCCACUCCUGUCGGGGGUCGACCCGGCAUUGCAGUGCCGCCGGGAUCGGCCAACAAAAU